GGGUGCGAUCAUACCAGCACUAAUGCACCAAAUCCCAUAAAACUCUGUAGUUAAGCGUGCUUGGGUGAGAGUAGUAUUAGAAUGGGUGACCACCUGGGAAGUCCUCAUGUUGCACCUU